ensembl:miRNA ocu-mir-182 ocu-mir-182
UUUGGCAAUGGUAGAACUCACACUGGUGAGGUAUGGGAUCCGGUGGUUCUAGACUUGCCAACUA